AGAAACCUGGGGGUAUCAUAGCACUUCUGGAUGAAGCCUGCAUGUUUCCUAGAUCAACGCAUGAAACAUUUGCUCAGAAGUUAUAUCAGACUUUUAAAAAUAACAAGCGUUUCUUGAAGCCAAAACUUUCCCGCACGGAUUUUACAAUAUGUCAUUAUGCUGGGGAGGUAAAAUACCAAGCUGAUCAUUUCUUGGACAAGAACAAAGACUAUGUGGUAGCAGAACACCAAGACUUGUUAAGUCCUUCUAAGUGCCCUUUUGUUGCGGGGUUAUUUCCGCCUCUUCCUGAGGAAACGUCAAAAUCCUCCAAAUUUUCUUCAAUCGGAUCACGUUUUAA